rnacentral:rRNA from 1 species
UAAUACGGGAGGCAGCAGUGGGGAAUAUUGCACAAUGGGCGCAAGCCUGAUGCAGCCAUGCCGCGUGUGUGAAGAAGGCCUUCGGGUUGUAAAGCACUUUCAGUCGUGAGGAAGGUGGUGUAGUUAAUAGCUGCAUUAUUUGACGUUAGCGACAGAAGAAGCACCGGCUAACUCCGUGCCAGCAGCCGCGGUAAUACGGAGGGUGCGAGCGUUAAUCGGAAUUACUGGGCGUAAAGCGCAUGCAGGUGGUUUGUUAAGUCAGAUGUGAAAGCCCGGGGCUCAACCUCGGAAUAGCAUUUGAAACUGGCAGACUAGAGUACUGUAGAGGGGGGUAGAAUUUCAGGUGUAGCGGUGAAAUGCGUAGAGAUCUGAAGGAAUACCGGUGGCGAAGGCGGCCCCCUGGACAGAUACUGACACUCAGAUGCGAAAGCGUGGGGAGCAAACAGGAUUAGAUACCCUGGUAGUCCACGCCGUAAACGAUGUCUACUUGGAGGUUGUGGCCUUGAGCCGUGGCUUUCGGAGCUAACGCGUUUAG